UAACGUUACCAAACUGUUGCCUCGGCGGGAUCUUCUGCCCCGGGUGCGUCGCAGCCCCGGACCAAGGCGCCCGCCUGAGGAAUCAACCAAAACUCUUAUUGUAUACCCCCUCGCGGGUYUUUUUUAUAAUCUGAGCCUUCUCGGCGCCUCUCGUAGGCGUUUCGAAAAUGAAUCAAAACUUUCAACAACGGAUCUCUUGGUUCUGGCAUCGAUGAAGAACGCAGCGAAAUGCGAUAAGUAAUGUGAAUUGCAGAAUUCAGUGAAUCAUCGAAUCUUUGAACGCACAUUGCGCCCGCCAGUAUUCUGGCGGGCAUGCCUGUCCGAGCGUCAUUUCAACCCUCGAACCCCUCCGGGGGGUCGGCGUUGGGGAUCGGCCUUCCUUCACGGGGGCCGUCUCCGAAAUACAGUGGCGGUCUCGCCGCAGCCUCUCCUGCGCAGUAGUUUGCACACUCGCAUCGGGAGCGCGGCGCGUCCACAGCCGUUAAACACCCAACUUUCUGAAAUGUUGACCUCGGAUCAGGUAGGANNNNNNNCUGAACUU
rnacentral:rRNA from 1 species